UUUUACCUGAUCUAAUGCCUUAUAGAUGUCUGCAGCACCAGUAGCAUCGCAAACGUGUUGCCGAGCCCAUCUCCAAAUUCCCCCAGGAGCUCUGGCCAUCUUAUUUACCAACAGGAACAUAACGCUGCUUGAAAGUAGUAU